rnacentral:lncRNA from 1 species
GGCUGGUGAAAGUGGAAUAAAUGGCUUGAAGGGCUCCUUAUUCCCCUUAAGCCUCCUUUAAUCGCGAACAAAACAUAGCUUAAGAGUAGCAUCUGGCAUAUGUUCCUAGAUAUGAUCCAUACACAACAAUUUCUAAAACACGGAAGGAUCUCGGGCUUGCCAAGUCUUACCACUCAGGCCUUGUUUGGUUUAGAUACAAGCAACAUAAGGUGAGAUAAUCUGACAUAUUCCAUAGAAGCAUAGGCAAUUUAGCGAACAACCAUACUGGAAAACUCCAUGGCCUGGUCUACAGUGGCUUGCAUGACAUGACAAUUAAAGAAUUUUCCAUUUUUUGCUCUUGGUACUUUCAUAUUCUAAUGAGACUAUGGUUACAUGUUCACCUGACCUUUCUUAUGCCUUAGGUAAAACAUCUUUGUAAGGAAUAUAUGCUAUCGAUCCCAUUAUCCAUCAGAGAGAUGGACUUUCUCAAAUGGUUAUCCACCAAAAGGCUUUUUUUUUUUUGGAUGAAGAUCAUCCAUCAAAAAGUUUGACCAUCUUGCAUGAAUAUCUGCAUUCUUCUAUUGUCAGACUCUGUUAUCUAUUACAGAGCACUUUGUUUUCCUUGGAAUAAAAUGGGAGGAGCUUCCUACCACCUCCUAUUCACAUCAAAAAAAAGAAUAUCUGCAUUCAAUCUUCAAAGUAACCUUUGUACCUUCAUCUGAGGUAUCCUUAUUUGGCAACAGGAUAAAUUUUGGUCAAAUUCUUGUGAUAUUACCAUGUACUAUUCCUGUGCUCGCCCCCUGCUUUUCCACUGAUGUUUCUUAUGCUGAGCCUAACUUUCAGUUUGACAUCUUAUUAAAGUUUAAAUAGGAGGUGUCAUGCCUCCCUUUCCUAGCUUGAGACAUGCAUCAACUGCUAUUGCUGAGCUGGUCGAGAGCAAAUUCCAGAUUUCAUUAUUUUGCCUUUGUUGUUUUGUGCUAAACAAAGUAGAAACAUUAUGUGAUAUUUUAAGUAAUGACCAGCUCAUACAC